AUUGAACGCUGGCGGCAGGCCUAACACAUGCAAGUCGAAGGUAGUGGCGGACGGGUGAGUAAUACGUGAGUAACCUGCCCUCCUUUUUGGGAUAAGCCUUGGAAACGGGGUCUAAUACCGGAUAAAGGGGGAUGGGCUCGCGGCCUAUCAGCUUGUUGGUGGGGUGAUGGCCUACCAAGGCGGUGACGGGUAGCCGGCCUGAGAGGGUGCCCGGCCACAUUGGGAAGGAGAUACGGCCCAGACUCCUACGGGAGGCAGCAGGGGGGGAAAUUGCACAAUGGGCGAAAGCCUGAUGCAGCGACGCCGCGUGGGGGAUGAAGGCUGUCGGGUUGUAAACCUCUUUCGGUACAGAACGGGUAUGUGCAGAAGAAGCGCCGGCUAAUUACGUGCCAGCAGCCGCGGGAAUA
rnacentral:rRNA from 1 species